UCNNCAUGUUGAAAACAUCCAAGUCGAGCGGGCGUAGCAAUACGUCAGCGGCAGACGGGUGAGUAACGCGUGGGAACAUACCUUUUGGUUCGGAACAACACAGGGAAACUUGUGCUAAUACCGGAUAAGCCCUUACGGGGAAAGAUUUAUCGCCGAAAGAUUGGCCCGCGUCUGAUUAGCUAGUUGGUGAGGUAACGGCUCACCAAGGCGACGAUCAGUAGCUGGUCUGAGAGGAUGAUCAGCCACAUUGGGACUGAGACACGGCCCAAACUCCUACGGGAGGCAGCAGUGGGGAAUAUUGGACAAUGGGCGCAAGCCUGAUCCAGCCAUGCCGCGUGAGUGAUGAAGGCCCUAGGGUUGUAAAGCUCUUUUGUGCGGGAAGAUAAUGACGGUACCGCAAGAAUAAGCCCCGGCUAACUUCGUGCCAGCAGCCGCGGUAAUACGAAGGGGGCUAGCGUUGCUCGGAAUCACUGGGCGUAAA
rnacentral:rRNA from 1 species